UGUCCAGGGGCGGGAAUCGAACCCACAACCUUCUGCUUACCGGGCAGAUGCCAUGUCCACUAGGUCAUAUAUAGAC